CUCUAGAAGUCAUCUUCAUCAUCCUCAAAGAGUCAUAUAUAUAUAUAUAUAUUAAUUAUCAUGGGAUACUGGAAAGAUAAGUUGUUACCAAAGAUCAAGAAGGUGUUUGGUUCAAAGAGGGAAAGCAAAGAAGCUAAAAAAAGAGAAGUAGAAGGUCCUGGUGCAGUGGAGAGUAGUAGUAAGGAGGUGAGUUUAGAAAUUGAAACUAAGGUGAAGAAAGAGGAGGUGGAGGAGGAGAAGAUGGUGGUUGCACCUGAGUCUAAACCAGUUAAACCAGUUGAGUAUGUUUGAUGGGGUUUUUAUUUAGGUGUAUGUAGAGUUGUAACAAGGAUGCUUCCUUGUAUUUGUUUGCUUGAUUUUUGUUAUUCUUAAUUUGGUAUUUGUUUCUCUUAA